rnacentral:rRNA from 1 species
UCAUACCAACAUGACAAUUCCUGAUCUCAUCUGAUCUCAGAUGCUAAGCAGGACCGAGCCUGGUUUGUGCUUAGACUGGAGACCACAAGGAAUACCAUGUG